AAACCACAAGCUUCAUCAGCCAACCAGGAUGAACGAAGAUGUUUUAGAUGUGGAAAACCAGGUCACUUGAAGUUGGGAUGUAUUGAGAAACUGGAUAAAGAUGGUAAACCUUUAAACUUCAAGAAGUCUAUGGAGCAGGACCAUCGAUAGACUUAUGUACAUCAGGAACAGCAUCAGGUCCUUAUAGUUUACCACCAGGAUUGUAUGGAAAGCCAACAGAAACUGAAGUUGUACUUUAUGGAAAAACAGUGAAGACUUUACUUGAUACAGGAUCAACAGUAUCUACUAUCAGUCAUACAUAUUACCACAGCAACCUAACAGAUAUACCUUUACUACACAUGAACGAGCUACUUGAUAUUGA
rnacentral:lncRNA from 1 species